UACGUAGGGAGCAAGCGUUGUCCGGAAUCAUUGGGCGUAAAGCGCGCGUAGGUGGCCCUGUAAGUCCGUCGGGAAAGUCAAAGGCUCAACCUUUGAAAGCCGAUGGAUACUGCAGGGCUGGAGUACGGAAGAGGCGAGUGGAAUUCCUGGUGUAGCGGUGGAAUGCGCAGAUAUCAGGAGGAACACCAAUAGCGAAGGCAGCUCGCUGGGACGUUACUGACACUGAGGCGCGAAAGCGUGGGGAGCGAACAGG
rnacentral:rRNA from 1 species